GAUGAACGCUGGCGGCGUGCCUAAUACAUGCAAGUCGAGCGAACGGACGAGAAGCUUGCUUCUCUGAUGUUAGCGGCGGACGGGUGAGUAACACGUGGAUAACCUACCUAUAAGACUGGGAUAACUUCGGGAAACCGGAGCUAAUACCGGAUAAUAUUUUGAACCGCAUGGUUCAAAAGUGAAAGACGGUCUUGCUGUCACUUAUAGAUGGAUCCGCGCUGCAUUAGCUAGUUGGUAAGGUAACGGCUUACCAAGGCAACGAUGCAUAGCCGACCUGAGAGGGUGAUCGGCCACACUGGAACUGAGACACGGUCCAGACUCCUACGGGAGGCAGCAGUAGGGAAUCUUCCGCAAUGGGCGAAAGCCUGACGGAGCAACGCCGCGUGAGUGAUGAAGGUCUUCGGAUCGUAAAACUCUGUUAUUAGGGAAGAACAUAUGUGUAAGUAACUGUGCACAUCUUGACGGUACCUAAUCAGAAAGCCACGGCUAACUACGUGCCAGCAGCCGCGGUAAUACGUAGGUGGCAAGCGUUAUCCGGAAUUAUUGGGCGUAAAGCGCGCGUAGGCGGUUUUUUAAGUCUGAUGUGAAAGCCCACGGCUCAACCGUGGAGGGUCAUUGGAAACUGGAAAACUUGAGUGCAGAAGAGAAAAGUGGAAUUCCAUGUGUAGCGGUGAAAUGCGCAGAGAUAUGGAGGAACACCAGUGGGCGAAGGCGACUUUCUGGUCUGUAACUGACGCUGAUGUGCGAAAGCGUGGGGAUCAAACAGGAUUAGAUACCCUGGUAGUCCACGCCGUAAACGAUGAGUGCUAAGUGUUAGGGGGUUUCCGCCCCUUAGUGCUGCAGCUAACGCAUUAAGCACUCCGCCUGGGGAGUACGACCGCAAGGUUGAAACUCAAAGGAAUUGACGGGGACCCGCACAAGCGGUGGAGCAUGUGGUUUAAUUCGAAGCAACGCGAAGAACCUUACCAAAUCUUGACAUCCUUUGACAACUCUAGAGAUAGAGCCUUCCCCUUCGGGGGGGCAAAGUGACAGGUGGUGCAUGGUUGUCGUCAGCUCGUGUCGUGAGAUGUUGGGUUAAGUCCCGCAACGAGCGCAACCCUUAAGCUUAGUUGCCAUCAUUAAGUUGGGCACUCUAAGUUGACUGCCGGUGACAAACCGGAGGAAGGUGGGGAUGACGUCAAAUCAUCAUGCCCCUUAUGAUUUGGGCUACACACGUGCUACAAUGGACAAUACAAAGGGCAGCGAAACCGCGAGGUCAAGCAAAUCCCAUAAAGUUGUUCUCAGUUCGGAUUGUAGUCUGCAACUCGACUACAUGAAGCUGGAAUCGCUAGUAAUCGUAGAUCAGCAUGCUACGGUGAAUACGUUCCCGGGUCU
rnacentral:rRNA from 1 species